rnacentral:rRNA from 1 species
CCCUUAGAUGUUCUGGGCCGCACGCGCGCUACACUGAUGCAUUCAACGAGUCUAAAACCUGCUCUGAUAGGGGUGGGUAAUCUUUUGAAUGUGCAUCGUGAUUGGGAUAGAUGAUUGCAAUUUUUCAUCUUCAACGAGGAAUGCCUAGUAAACGCAAGUCAUCAGCUUGCAUUGAUUACGUCCAUGCCCUUUGUACACACCGCCCGUCGCUCCUACCGAUUGAAUGAUCCGAUGAAUAUCAUGGAUUGAGGAUGCAAGCAGGUUCGCCUGUCUUCAUCUUCGAGAAGUGAAGUAAAUCUUAUCAUUUAGAGGAAGGAGAAGUCGUAACA